rnacentral:lncRNA from 1 species
CGAGCGCCGCUGCGGCCGGUCAUCGUCGGAGUGCACUGUUCUUUUCUGGUGCGGUUGGUUUUUGUCUCCGGGCAGCAAUGGCGGUGGCUCAGAGCAUCGGCAAGACUUCCGCAGGGCCUCUGACGUCCCUUAAAGGGACACUGCCCUUCUCUUUUGCUCUGGUCCUCUCUUCAUGUCCUGCCAAAUUUGAACAGCCUUCUGUGCUUCAGGGAUCUAGAUUCUGUAACUAUUUUGUAUAAACAUCACAUUUGAAUUUUCUCCAGA